GACGAACCGUGCGAACGUUAUUCGGAUUCACUGGGCUUAAAGGGCGCGUAGGCGGACGAGCAAGUCCGGGGUGAAAUCUUUCGGCUUAACCGGAAAAGUGCCUGGGAAACUGCUCGUCUUGAGGGAGGUAGGGGCCUGUGGAACUUCCGGUGGAGCGGUGAAAUGCGCAGAUAUCUGGAGGAACACCGGUGGCGAAGGCGGCAUCCUGGACCAACACUGACACUGAGGAGCGAAAGCCAGGGGAGCAAACGGG
rnacentral:rRNA from 1 species